rnacentral:lncRNA from 1 species
UCUUCUUCAGCCAUGGACUGAAACCGGUUGGGUUCGCCGGCUUCGGCCCGAUUGGCCCAUUUGGGCCAGUUAUUUUUGUGGUAGCAAACCAAGAUAGUCAAGAUAAAAAGAAUCUUCCACAAAAGACAGCUAGUCAAGAUAAAGAUGAAAGAGGAAUCAGCCAUAAAAGGCACCAUACCAAGUCAAAGAGAGGAAAGAGGAAGAGAUAGAGCAGGCAACCAUGGGGUUUGGAGCAGUCGAGGCGCUGUGGAGAAUAGGAUGGGGAGCGGUUGGCGUGCUGUUACUGCUAUGGGCUUGGAGAGGAUUGGAGCGGCUUUGGUGGAGACCAAGGAUGCUGGAAAGAGCGCUCCGGGCCCAAGGGCUGCGGGGCACCCGGUACCGCUUCCUCUGCGGGGACCUCAAGGAGAACGCCCGGCUCAGCAA